ACGAACGCUGGCGGCGUGCUUAACACAUGCAAGUCGAACGGAAAGGCCCUGCUUUUGUGGGGUGCUCGAGUGGCGAACGGGUGAGUAACACGUGAGUAACCUGCCCUUGACUUUGGGAUAACUUCAGGAAACUGGGGCUAAUACCGGAUAGGAGCUCCUGCUGCAUGGUGGGGGUUGGAAAGUUUCGGCGGUUGGGGAUGGACUCGCGGCUUAUCAGCUUGUUGGUGGGGUAGUGGCUUACCAAGGCCUUGACGGGUAGCCGGCCUGAGAGGGUGACCGGCCACAUUGGGACUGAGAUACGGCCCAGACUCCUACGGGAGGCAGCAGUGGGGAAUAUUGCACAAUGGGCGGAAGCCUGAUGCAGCAACGCCGCGUGCGGGAUGACGGCCUUCGGGUUGUAAACCGCUUUCGCCUGUGACGAAGCAUGAGUGACGGUAAUGGGUAAAGAAGCACCGGCUAACUACGUG
rnacentral:rRNA from 1 species